rnacentral:rRNA from 1 species
CAGUCGCCACGGGAAUACAGAGGGUGCGAGCGUUAAUCGGAUUUACUGGGCGUAAAGCGUGCGUAGGCGGAUUCUUAAGUCGGAUGUGAAAUCCCUGAGCUUAACUUAGGAAUUGCAUUCGAUACUGGGAAGCUAGAGUAUGGGAGAGGAUGGUAGAAUUCCAGGUGUAGCGGUGAAAUGCGUAGAGAUCUGGAGGAAUACCGAUGGCGAAGGCAGCCAUCUGGCCUAAUACUGACGCUGAGGUACGAAAGCAUGGGGAGCAAACAGGAUUAGAUACCCCAGUAGUCCCUGUCUCUUAUAC